rnacentral:rRNA from 1 species
CCUACGGGUGGCAGCAGUGAGGAAUAUUGGUCAAUGGGCGAGAGCCUGAACCAGCCAAGUCGCGUGAAGGAUGACGGCCCUACGGGUUGUAAACUUCUUUUGUCAGGGAGCAAUUGGGUCCACGCGUGGGCUUAGCGAGAGUACCUGAAGAAAAAGCAUCGGCUAACUCCGUGCCAGCAGCCGCGGUAAUACGGAGGAUGCGAGCGUUAUCCGGAUUUAUUGGGUUUAAAGGGUGCGUAGGCGGAAUGCCAAGUCAGCGGUAAAAUCGCGGGGCUCAACCUCGCUCCGCCGUUGAAACUGGCGUUCUUGAGUGUGCGAGAAGUAUGCGGAAUGCGUGGUGUAGCGGUGAAAGGCUUAGAUAUCACGAAGAACUCCGAUUGCGAAGGCAGUUCACUGGACUGCAACUGACACUGAGGCUCGAAAGUGUGGGUAUCAAACAGGAUUAGAUACCCGAGUAGUC